rnacentral:rRNA from 1 species
GAUGAACGCUGGCGGCGUGCUUAACACAUGCAAGUCGAACGGAAAGGCCCAAGCUUGCUUGGGUACUCGAGUGGCGAACGGGUGAGUAACACGUGGGUGAUCUGCCCUGCACUUCGGGAUAAGCCUGGGAAACUGGGUCUAAUACCGGAUAGGACGAUGGUUUGGAUGCCAUUGUGGAAAGUUUUUUCGGUGUGGGAUGAGCUCGCGGCCUAUCAGCUUGUUGGUGGGGUAAUGGCCUACCAAGGCGUCGACGGGUAGCCGGCCUGAGAGGGUGUACGGCCACAUUGGGACUGAGAUACGGCCCAGACUCCUACGGGAGGCGGCAAUGGGGAAUAUUGCACAAUGGGCGCAAGCCUGAUGCAGCGACGCCGCGUGGGGGAUGACGGCCUUCGGGUUGUAAACUCCUUUCGCUAGGGACGAAGCGUUUUUGUGACGGUACCUGGAGAAGAAGCACCGGCUAACUACGUG